UGAAAAAUAUCUUCAAUGACAUGCCAUAUA
rnacentral:piRNA from 1 species